CUCACGCAACAGAAUCAUAGUACUUCAUUGCUGGAAAGCAUUUUGGGGUUCAUUUAAACCAGUGGUUAGCAAACUUUUUCCUUAAAGGGCCAGAUGGAAACUAUCAGGCUAUACGAUCUGUCAUAGCUGCUCAACUCUACCUUUGUAAGUGAAAGAAGCUGGAGAUAAUCAGUAAAUGAAAGGGUGGAAGAUUCUGCAUUUCUGACAAGCUCCCAGAUGAUUCUGAUGCUCCUAGUUCUAACACCCCAUGUUGAGGAACAAGAAUAGAAGCCAAACAUCUCAAGUUCCAGAGACCAAGUGCUCAGCGUGGUAAAAGUUCUGAAAAGAACCAGAAGCCAUGACAGAUGCUCCCGAACCUGACGGACAAGCUGAGGAAAAGCUGAGGAGCAGACUCAGGUGACUUCAUGCCCAGAUGACGCCGCCAACCCGAGGCCCCUGACCUGGAGAGGAGGGAACAGAGCAGCGACCCUCGAGAAGAGAAGAUAGGACAACAAUUGCAGAGGAGUUACCCUAAGAC